CACGGGGGGAGCAAGCGUUGUUCGGAAUCACUGGGCGUAAAGGGCGUGUAGGCGGUCAGAUAAGUGGAAUGUGAAAUGCCCCGGCUCACCCGGGGACCGGCAUCCCAAACUGUCUGGCUUGAGUAUGGGAGAGGAUGAGGGAAUUCCUGGUGUAGCGGUGAAAUGCGUAGAUAUCAGGAGGAACACCGGUGGCGAAGGCGCUCAUCUGGCCCAAUACUGACGCUGAUGCGCGAAAGCGUGGGGAGCGAACAGG
rnacentral:rRNA from 1 species